UACGGAGGAUCCAAGCGUUAUCCGGAUUUAUUGGGUUUAAAGGGUGCGUAGGCGGCCUGUUAAGUCAGGGGUGAAAGACGGUAGCUUAACUAUCGCAGUGCCCUUGAUACUGAUGGGCUUGAAUGUACUAGAGGUAGGCGGAAUGUGACAAGUAGCGGUGAAAUGCAUAGAUAUGUCACAGAACACCAAUUGCGAAGGCAGCUUACUAUGGUUUUAUUGACACUGAGGCACGAAAGCGUGGGGAUCAAACAGG
rnacentral:rRNA from 1 species